rnacentral:tRNA from 1 species
GCUGACUUGGCUUAGUGGUUGAGCUGGGAGGUGUACAUAGUGUAUCUAUGUAUGCCCUGGGUUCGAAUCCCAGAAGUCAUGUA